rnacentral:siRNA from 1 species
UGAAUUUCAGAGUGUGGCGCCC